AGUGAACGCUGGCGGUAGGCCUAACACAUGCAAGUCGAGCGGCAGCACAGUAAGAGCUUGCUCUUACGGGUGGCGAGUGGCGGACGGGUGAUGAAUACAUCGGAGUCUACUUUUUCGUGGGGGAUAACGUAGGGAAACUUACGCUAAUACCGCAUACGACCUACGGGUGAAAUCAUGGGAUCUUCGGACCUCACGCGAUUGAAUGAGCCGAUGUCGGAUUAGCUAGUUGGCGGGGUAAAGGCCCACCAAGGCGACGAUCCGUAGCUGGUCUGAGAGGAUGAUCAGCCACACUGGAACUGAGACACGGUCCAGACUCCUACGGGAGGCAGCAGUGGGGAAUAUUGGACAAUGGGCGCAAGCCUGGUCCAGCCAUACCGCGUGGGUGAAGAAGGCCUUCGGGUUGUAAAGCCCUUUUGUUGGGAAAGAAAAGCAGCAGGUUAAUACCCCGCUGUUCUGACGGUACCAAAAGAAUAAGCACCGGCUAACUUCGUG
rnacentral:rRNA from 1 species